rnacentral:lncRNA from 1 species
CAUUAGUUAAUACAGUAAUAAGAUAUAUGCUAUCAAAGACACAGAAGAUACUAUGUAGGGUUUCCUUGACAACGGGGAAAAUCAACUUUAGAAGAUGGGAUCAAAAUUUUGCUCAGUACCAAAAUAUAUAUUGUGGUACUGAGCAAUUUUUAUACUCUUAUACACCCUGUCCGCCAUUUCAGGUGUUGGAAACAGUCACCUUUACAAUAGUUCUAAGAAAAUCCGGUAGAGAUCAUAUCGAAGCUUGGCGGAUCUCAAUAUUGUAGACAGUUUAUGCAAAAUAUUGUAUUAAUAUUAUUUAUUUUAUUUUUUGGGGUGGUGUCCGUAAAAUCUGAAGUCCAUAAAAUCAAGGUUUUACUGUACG